GUGGUUUAGUCACAAAGUUGUGUCUGACCCCAUGGUCUGUAGCCCACUAGGCUCCUCUAUCCAUGGGAUUUUCCAGGCAAGAAUACUAGAGUGGGUUGCCAUUUCCCUCUCCAGAGAAUUUAUGGGAGUUCUUAAAAGGAUCACAGGACGAAAAAGGAAAACAACACAUGAAAUAUUCAUGAGUUUAAUUGCUAUCUUCAAAGAGUGAAUAUUACUGUUGUUAAAGAUUGAGUUUCACCACGUGCCAAGGACCUCACAUGCCAGGUACAGUACAUCUAAACUGAGAAACAAGUGUGAUAUAGAGAUUUUAAAAAUUGCUCUUUUAAGUCUUACUUUAGUCUUUUUCACAAUCUGUAUGCAAAAAAAAAGAGACAUGAGAGGAAAAUUUCCCUGUUUAGGGAAAUACACCAAUAGUUCAGACAGGGAAAGUAGGGCUCAGGCUGUAGCUUGCAUUGGAAUUAUGAAAACAAAGGGAACUAAAAUGAUCAGCAUAAUUUGAAAGUGUUUUUUUUCUGGGAUCCAGAAAUAGGAAUUUAUGAAUCUCGUGAGGAAUCAGGUAAGAGAAGAAAUAGAAUAGGCCUUAGCUACAAAAGGGGCUUCCCUAGUGGCUCGAUGGUAAAGAAUCUGCUUGCCAUGCAGAAGACCCGGGUUCAAUACCUGGGUUGGAAAGAUCCCCAGGAGGAGAGAACAACAACCCACUCCAGUAUCCUUGAAUGGAGAAUUCUAUGGACAGAGGAGCCUGGCAGUCUACAGUCCCUGGGGUCACAAAGAGUCAGACACGACUGAGCAACAAAUACUUUACUUACAAAAAAGAGAAUUGGCUGGUCAUAAAUUCUUUCUGAAGGGAUAGCUAAAGAAUUUUAGAAUUAAAGAUGCUUCUCUGUUAAUAUUUAGUUAAAAUCUAUUAUAGACUUCAUGAUUAUUGGUGCUUUAGAAAUGAAGGAAGAGGGAACUCUGCCCACAUUCUGGGGGAAACAGAACAAAGAGGGCAGCAGCUGGCAGGCCUUGUGAUAAGACCAAGGAUGACUACAAAUUAGGUGGGAGAGAGAUGACAAGAAGCCACAGAGGAAGGCAAUGCCUGAUUAGGCAUUUUCAAAACGCAGGGGAGGGUAUUGUACUUCCUCAAACUACACUGGCUACAGCUUGAGUUAUUUUAUUUGCACAUUAAAGGAAAAGAUUUUUCCAGAAGAUUGGAACUCUUAGGCACUACUGGGAACUGCAAAGAUGAUUAGAAGUUCACAGUCUACCAAUAGUUAUUACUUGAACUCUGAACACUUAAGAUAUAUUAUGUCCUAAUAAUAAGGAGAAGAACUCUAUAAUCUUUGAAGGUUCCGGCUAGAUGUAGAGUGUGACAUUUUCCUGCCUUCUUCCCAGUGGCUUAUAGCUUGUAAUUUUCUGAAUGAGAAGAAAGAAACAGGGAAUCAAUUAGAAAUAUUCAGAAAUCCUUAGAUUUGUAGAGAGUGUUUUCUUCUUAGGAAACUGCAGACUUUCUCCAUUACUAAAUAGCCAUAAAAGGCCAGAAAGGCAACUCAGCAAUUGUGCUCAUGAGAGUCCCACAGAUGUCCCACCAUGUGUGCCCAGUGAGAGUCCCACAGAUGUCCCACGGCAUGUGCCCAGUGGGAGUCCCAGUGUGUGCCCAGGGAGACUCCCACAGAUGUCCCACACUGUGAGCCCAAGGAGAGUCCACAGAUGUCCCACAGCAUGUGCCCAGUAAGAGUCCCACAGAUGUCCCACCGUGUGUGCCCAGGGAGAGUCCACAGAUGUCCCACAGCAUGUGCCCAGUGAGAGUCCCACAGAUGUCCCACGGCAUGCGCCCAGGGAGAGUCCCACAGUGUGUGUCCAGUGGGAGUCCCACAGAUGUCCCACAGCGUGCGCCCAGGGAGAGUCCCACAGAUGUCCCAUGGCAUGUGCCCAGGGAGAGUCCCACAGUGUGUGCCCAGUGGGAGUCCCACAGAUGUCCCACAGCAUGCGCCCAGGGAGAGUCCACAGAUGUCCCACAGCAUUCGCCGAGGGAGAGUCCCAUAGAUGUCCCACGGCGUGUGCCCAGGAAGAGUCCCACAGAUGUCCCAGUGUGCCCAGCAAGAGUCCACAGAUGUCCCACAGUGCUCAGAUGGGAAGCAGCACCCUCUGCUGUUCUCUCUUUGAUAUGUGUUCACCUGUCUUCCUGAACAGAUCACUGAGCAUUUUCUUGUCAGUGCUAGCCUAUAUGUUUACACUGAGAGCACUAUUUCUAUCCAUUGCCAUCUUCC
ensembl:lncRNA